rnacentral:rRNA from 1 species
UGUUACUUAUAUUUAAAAUAUUUUGGAAUAGUAAUAAUAAUGAAAUUUAACGGAUUUGGCGGCAAGAUAGCCAUUUAGAGGAACCUGCCCUAUAAACGAUGAUCCACGAUUUAAACUCUACUUUUAUUUGGAUUUCAGUUUGUAUACCGCUGUUGUCAGUCAGUUUCUCUAGAAAACUUUCAUUCAUGAUAAAAUCAUUGACUUCAAGUAAAGGUGCAGCUUAUAUAAAAGACAGAGGUGGGUUACAUUUACUAGAUUAAAACGGAUUAAGUUUAUGAAAAUAGCUUUUGAAGGUGGAUUUAAUAGUAAAGUUUAUAUAAACUUGAUGUGAGCUCUAUCUUGU